rnacentral:rRNA from 1 species
ACGGGAGGCAGCAGUGAGGGAUAUUGCACAAUGGGGGAAACCCUGAUGCAGCGACGCCGCGUGAGUGAAGAAGUAUUUCGGUAUGUAAAGCUCUAUCAGCAGGGAAGAAAAUGACGGUACCUGACUAAGAAGCCCCGGCUAACUACGUGCCAGCAGCCGCGGUAGUACGUAGGGGGCAAGCGUUAUCCGGAUUUACUGGGUGUAAAGGGAGCGUAGACGGCAUGGCAAGUCUGAAGUGAAAGCUCGGGGCUCAACCCCGGAACUGCUUUGGAAACUGUCAAGCUAGAGUAUCGGAGAGGUAAGCGGAAUUCCUAGUGUAGCGGUGAAAUGCGUAGAUAUUAGGAGGAACACCAGUGGCGAAGGCGGCUUACUGGACGGUAACUGACGUUGAGGCUCGAAAGCGUGGGGAGCAAACAGGAUUAGAUACCCUGGUA